rnacentral:tRNA from 1 species
GGACUCGUAGCACAGUCAGGACAGUGCGGGUGGCUUCGGACCACCAGAUCGAGGGAUCGAAGCCCUCCGAGCCCU